UAUGGUGGUGCCGCAGCUGGUUCGGCCGAGCCCUUCGGGGCGGGCCGAGGCAAGAGGGAACCCGGUGGGAAUCCGGGACUGCCCCGCAGCGGUGAGUGGGAACGACAGCCGUCAACAGCACUGGGCCACCGGCCUGGGAAGCGACGGCCGGUAGGCGACCGGCGACCCCGGUCGGGCCCGCGAGUCCGAAGACCUGCCAGCGCGCCGUACGCCUC
rnacentral:ncRNA from 2 species